rnacentral:rRNA from 1 species
AACGAACGCUGGCGGCAUGCCUAACACAUGCAAGUCGAGCGAGGCCGUCUGGUAUAUGUACCAACUGGAUCAUAAGGCAAGGGGACCUUCCCGUGGGUGGAAAAUGACUCCCAGCAGGGGAUACUAAUAGCGAAUGAUUGCUACUACCCAAAGAUUUAUCGACUUUGGAUGGUCCAGCGUUAGAUUAGCUAGUUGGUAAGGUAAAGAACUACCAAGGCUACGAUCCAUAGCUGGUAUGAGAGGAUGAUCAGACCCACUGGGACUGAGACACGGCCCAGACUCCUACGGGAGGCAGCAGUGGGGAAUAUUGGACAAUGGGCGAAAGACUGAUCCAGCAAUGCCGCGUGAGUGAUGAAGGACUUAGGGUUGUAAAGCUCUUUUACCAGGGAUGAUAAUGACAGUAACGGGAGAAUAAGCUACGGCUAACUCCGUG